CAUGCACCUGUAAGUGAGGUGGGCAAAGCAAGGAACUUCUAAGAACCUUUUAUAUGAAGGUGGUCCUGACAGAAGUAAUUAAUACUUAUGCCAGUAAGGUUCUUGAAUUGGUGUAGAAAUGACAUUGGAAAUUGAUCUUUUUUGUCCAUGAAAAGGAAUAGCUCGUCUUUUGGCUUAGAAAUGUGCAGCACUGUAAGCUCGGGAAAAAAAAGAUCCCAGGAGCUGUUUGUUUUUGCAGUUAUUAAAACCGGUGAGCUCACUGGUUGGAAAUGCUGCAAAAAAAGGGAGAGACCUGGAGCAAAGCGAGGGAAAUGCAUAUGCAGGGAGAGGGAAGAAUCCCAGAGAGUCGGUGCCACCUAGUGGGGGCUCUCAGAAGGUUCAGUAGGAAGCCAGGCUGCUGCUUUGCACCCUAAAAAAGCCGCACAGAUGCCAGGCGACGGAAUAAAGGCAUCAUUGGGGAGGGUCUGGGUGCUCAGCAGCAUCAAUAAGCGAGGCAGGGAGCGUGUGAGAUGAAGGCAACAGCUGGUGGGCCAUGUGUGGGGGAAAGAAGUAAAGUUAAUUGAAUGUGUGACAGAGCUCAGCUACGAGGGGACUCGUCUUUUCGAGCUAGCUGACAAAAGAGCUCCUCACACCGCAGAGGAGCUCCUUGCUUGAGAGGUGCCACAGCCCAGCGGAGGUGCAGCUCCGUGUCGUUAGCCAGAGACACGAGGCGGUGUGCGUGUGUGUGAUUUAUUAAUCAUAAUCUGCCUACUUUCUGAUGUCCCGGCCAUGAUGAUGGACGGCUUCUAAGAAGCAUCAAGUCCAGCUCAGACAACAGCGUGUGUUCUGCUUUUGUUUAUCGCUGUGAGGAAUGUUCUGUGAGGGUCAAGUAGACACAAGGCUGAAGACUGUUUUGUGUGACCGUUCACUCAGCGGUGUCUCAGGCCUUCACACAAGCCUGGGGGCCUUGGGUGUUGUUCCUGUGGGCUACAGAAGAAGCAGGGACAAACAACACGGAUGUCCUUUUGUCACAAACUCUAGUUCAGGGAGAAAGUGUUCAGUAACCUUGCUGCAGAUGAUGCCCUAGGCCUCCAGAGUCUGUCCACCAGAUGGCACCAAGCUACUGAUGCUUAUAAAAUCCCCUGACUUCCCUGUGCCUUGGUUGUGGUCGGCACUAGCACGGCAUGUGUGUGCCUCAGGGAGUGCUUGAACUGAGCAAGGUGUGCUUGGGCUUUGUCUUUGUCUCCCUUUUCUCAGACAGUAGUAACUCCUUUGAGAGCUAAAGCACUCUGGUUUAGAUUUCAGACUUAAUUCCCAUGCCCUUCCACAGGGUGAUUACAGAGAUUGAAAUAAACCCCAAACAUUCGAAGUUCCUGAAAACAAAAGAGAGGAAGGCCAGUGGAAAGCCAGCACUCACCAACCCACCCCUGGCUUGGUGAGGCUUCCUACAGCUGAAUGGGUCCUGCCGGCU